rnacentral:lncRNA from 1 species
UAAGGACUUCAUUUGACAGUAAACUAAUUUUAGAAUUGACACAAAGUAGUAAGGUUGUUCAUUUUAUUGUACAACAAUGAAUAUUAAUUGUACAUAUCAUAGCUUUAUUAAAUCUGGCAAUACAAAAUAAAUCUAAGCAUAUUACAACACCGCUUAAGUUAAAAAUGAAAGGCCGAGAACUUGACCUAUAAAAUGUAGCCAUUCUUCAAAUCACAAGACUACAUCAAGCCUCUGACAAAGUAUACAAUGCAGUUUCAGGAGUAGAAAUUGCAAGUGUAACAGGUGUGAAGUGACUAGCUGGUUAACGGUGGGAGGCAGUUGUGUUCAGAGGGUCACUGGUACAAGCCCAGGUUGGAGUUAGGACUCAAGUGCCAGAGAAAACAAAAUAUAGGUUACGUUAAUUCCAGAAUGCAUCUCAACCAACAUGUCAUUAUAUGCAGUUGAUUUCCAAGGCACAACCAACAUUUACGCUUCAGAAGUUACAGAACGACAGCCUGCUGUCUGGACACAGGAACCAACAGUCAAAGAGCAGAGUUUAAUACAUCCUCAUCAUGGCCUGCCUCCAUUGAGGGGACCACACCAUAGGGCAGGGAGUGUAUGCCUGCCUAUACUGGGUUGAAGUGGCCGGGGAGGUGUGAUCCAAAUAAUUCCCAUGAGUAGAAAGGUGUUCUCUUCCGUACAAAGGUACAAAGUGUGCCGCCGAUGUUAUUCGUGGCAGUGUAUUUAGUGCAUAUGAACCCUCUAUAAGCGGCCCUGUAGGAGCGAGCCCGCCACAAUGAGAAUGAGCAGCGUGAACGCACUGGACUGCAAGGACGCGCAGGCUCCUUUGGGAAUGGUGAUGUUGGUGGUACUGACAACAUCGGGUACCUUGGUCAUAUUGGAACGCGUGCCGCCGUCAACUUUGGUAGUGUUCACAGUCAUCGCCGGGGACCUUGUUGUAGGCCUACGCCUAAUGUUUUGUGAGAAGACCUAAAAAACAUGAGCAUAGGGUCGCGUCAGUGGCAACAAACUUCGUAUAGAAAUACACAUUUUUUCCCAAUUUAACAAAUCUCACUUACGUCCGACCAAUCAAAAGAGGGUUAACUUCACACGUUUCUGCUAUGGCAAUAUGUUUAAUUGAGACAUUACAUUUAAGUGUCAUCACCUUAUGAAAGAGGCAGUUUUCCCAUACAUUAACUUUAUAAUCUAUA